rnacentral:rRNA from 1 species
CCCUUAGAUGUUCUGGGCCGCACGCGCGCUGCACUGAUGCAUUCAACGAGUAAUCUUUGACCUUGGUCGACAGAUCUGGGUAAUCUUUUGAAAUUGCAUCGUGAUGGGGCUUGCGGGUUGCAAUUACCCGCACCAACGAGGAAUUCCUAGUAAACGCAAGUCAUCAACUUGCAUUGAUUACGUCCCUGCCCUUUGUACACACCGCCCGUCGCUCCUACCGAUUGAGCGGUCCGGUGAAGACUCAGGAGAUGGGCGCGUGCUUGGUUCGCCAACUGCGCUGCCUGCCAAAUUUGUCUAAACCUUAUCGCUUAGAGGAAGGAGAAGUCGUAACA